AAACGGCGCAGCUGGGACUCUGUGCUGUGGCAGCCUAAGCGAACCUCUUCACGGGCUAAUGACAAUUGCAGGCAUUGUUGGGCUGUGUCCUAAGGUGAAUCAACAUAAAGAAAAGCCCUGGCUGCUCGUGCACUGAUAACUUCAUCUUUUCGGACAUCUGGGAACUACCGCCACAAUGUCUGGAAAAAAAAUGACUUCAAACUAAUGCAGCAGAGGCAAACCAUGGUUUGGCCAAAAAUGGAACAGAAUUUACAAGGGAAAAGGGAAGUUCCUGGAGUAAUAUGGUCAGAUGAGGAUGGAACUGGUGAAUGAGCAGAAGAGAAGGUUGGAAGAGUGCAGUGGUGAUGACAGCCCUCCGCUGCUCCUUCCCCAGAGGAAGGAGCUCCAAGUUUAUUCACCCCUCUUUUACCAUGAGGCAGAGGGAAAACAAUGACAAAUACACAGUAAACUUCGUUAUCAACAAACAGAAGUUGUUACCAAGGCAACAGAAC
rnacentral:lncRNA from 1 species